rnacentral:lncRNA from 10 species
GAACCCAGGAGGCAGAGGUUGCGGUGAGCAAAGAACAUGCCAUUGCACUCCAGCCUGGGCAACAAGAGCAAAACUCCAUCUCAAAAAAAAAAAAGAAAGAAAAAAAAAGACCCAAGGCUGGGUAAUUUAUGAAGAAAAUAUGUUUAAUUGGAUCACAGUUCUGCAGACUGUACCAGCACGGCUCCAGCAUCCCCUUCUGGUGAGGGCUUCAGGAACCUUACACUCAUGGCAGAAGGCAAAGGAAGAGCCAGUGUUUCAUAUGGUGAGAGCAGGAGGAGGUACCACAUACUUUUAAACCGCCAGAUCUCACAGGAACUCAUUAUCACAAGGACAGCACCAAGUCAUGAGGGAUCUGCCCUCAUGAGCCAAAUACUUCCCUCCACGCCACACCUCCAACAUUGGGAUCACAUUUCAACAUGAGAUUUGGAGGGGACAAAUAUCCAAAACAUAUCAAUAAAUAUUGCAUUGAAUCUGUAGAUCACUAUGAGUAGUAUUGACACAUUUACUAUAUUAACUAUUCCAAUCCAUGAACAUGGAAUGUGUUUUCAUUUAUUUAUUUAUAUCGUCUAUAAUUUCUUUCAGCAAUGUUUGUAGAUUUUAGUUUAUAGGUCUUUCCCUUUCAUGGUUAAUUCCUACAUAUUUUAUUCUUUUUGAUGCUAGUAUAAAUAGAAUUGUUUUUUAAAUUUCCUUUUCAAUUGGUUCAUUUUCAGUGUAUAGAAAUGAAACUUAUUUUUGCAUGUUUUAUAUCCUGCAUCUUUGCUAAAUUCAUUUAUUAGUUUUUACAGAGUUUUUAAAAUGUGGAAUCUCUAGGGGUUUCUAUAUUAAGAUCAUGUUCUCUGCAAACAGAUAAUUUUACUUCAUCCUUUCCAAUUUCAGUGCCUUUUCUUUUUUUUUCUUGCCUAAUUGCUCUGGCUAGAACUUCUGUUAGUGUUGAAUGGAAAUGGUGAAAGCAGGCAUGUCUUGUUCCUGAUCUUAGAAGAAAGGCUUUUAGUCUGUAAUCAUUAAAUAUGAUGUUAAUUAUGUUUUUUUAAUAUAUUGCCUUUAUUAUGUUGAGGUAGUUUCCAUUCCUAGUUUGUUGAUUGUUCUUAUUGUAAAAGAGUGUUGAAUUUUUUGUCAGAUUCUUUUUCUGCAGCAAAUGAGAUGAUCAUGUGGUUUCUGUCCUUUAUUCUUUUAAUGUGGUGUAUUACAAUGAUCCAUUUUUAUAUGUUGAAUCAUGCUUGUAUUCCAGGAAUAAAUACAACUUUGUCAUAGUGCAUAAUCCUUUAAUAUGCUGCUGAAUUCAGUGUGCUGGUAUUUUGUUGAGCAUUUUUGCAUCCAUGUUCAUAAGGGAUACUGGUUUGUAUUUUUCUUCUCUUGUGGUGUCCUUGUCUGGCUUUAGUAUUAGGGCAAUGCUGGCUUCAUAGAAUGAGUUAAAAAUUGUUUCCUUGACCAGCCUGGUCAACAUUUUUUUGUUCCUUUUUAUGUUUUCUGUUUCUUUAUUGAUAAUUCCAUAUUGUUCAUACAUCAUUUUCUUGACUUUGUCCACCUCUUCCUUUAGCUCUUUGAACAUCUUUAAGACAGUUGUCCUAAAGUCUUUGUCUAGGAAAAAGUUUUCUACUGUUUGGUCUUUCUCAGAGACUAUGUCUGGUGAUUUAAUUUUUUCUUUUGAAUUAGCUAUACUUUCCUGUUUGUUUGUAUGCCUUGUAAUUUUUUGUUGAAAACUGGACAUUUGAAUUUUAUAUUUUGGCAGUUCUGGAAAUCAGAUUCUCCUCUUCCCCAAGGUUUGUGGUUUACUGGGUUUGUGGUUGUUACUGCUGUUGUUUUUUGGUUUUUUUGUUUUGUUUUUUUGGUUUUUGUUUUCUGUUUUUGAGACAGAGUCUCGCUCUGUUGACCAGGCUGGAGUGCAGUGGCGCGAUCUCAGCUCACUGCAACCUCCACCUCCUGGGUUGGUUCAAGCGAUUCUUCUGCCUCAGCCUCUUGAGUAGCUGGGACUACAGGUGUGCACCACCAUGCCUGGCUAAUUUUUUUGUAUUUUUAGUAGAGACAGGGUUUCACCAUAUUGGCCAGGCUGGUCUCUAACUCCUGACCUCAUGACCCACCCACCUUGGCCCCCCAAAGUGUUGGGAUUACAGGCGUGAGCCACUGCACCCAGCCUGUUGUUGCUGUUCUUACUGUAGUCGGGUGACUUUGUGCCAGGCAUUCACCCAAGAUGUAAAUUUAAGCUCUUCUUGGGUAUUUUCUGAGUCUAAAUCUUUCCCUGGACAUAUGUAGUGACUUUCUGAAUUCCCUAUAUAUGCAGCUGCUUUUUGAUGUUCCAUUAUUCAGAUGUGGCUUCCAAAAGGGAAAAGAGGGAAUAACAAAGGGGGCGGGAGGUAACAGGCUCUGGAUCUUUAAAUAUUCUGAAACCUACUUCAGAUGGUGAGGUUGCAACAGUGGAGUCUGCCUCUGUGUCUGCACCUCUAUGAUCAGAAGCAGCAUUCAGAACAUAGAUCCCUGAUAUCUGGAAGACAAGGUCCUAAUUCCCUUCUCUAAAUUCCACAAGCUGUGUGCAAGCUGCACCAAGUACACGUGCAUGACUGACUGCCAUGGAGCUGGGAAAAGGGGAUGGUUAGCCACUACCGUGCAAAGAGCUGAAAUUGACCAAAAUUAAUUGCAAUUUACUGUCUAAGCCUUCCUUUGGCAGCUGCAAGCCUUUGAAUAGACUCCAGAGUUCCAGAAUAGUUACAUCAAACAGAUUCUGCCAGUGUAAUUAUCUAGAUAGGGAGACAGAGUCCUAUAUUUCCCACGCUACCAUCUUGCCUGAUGUCAUCCACAUAUGUAGUUUUAAAUUUUUUAGUGGCUGCUUUAAAAAGUGAAAAGGAACAGAUAAAUAUUUUAACAAUAUAUUUUACUUAAACUAGUGUAUCCAAAAUAUGAUUAUUUUAACAUGUAACAAUAUAAAAAUUGGUGAUUUUCAUACUAAAUAUUUCAAAAUAUAUAUUGUAUACCUAGAGAACAUCUCAAUCAAAGAUGCUAAAUUUUCAAUGGCUAAAGUGAAAUGUAGCACUACCAAAACAAUAAUGUUGUGCUUAGCAGAAAAAUAUUUUAUUCUGCUUUAGUUUCUAAAUUAAUUAAAAUUUAACAAAAUUAAAAAUUCAGUUCCUCAGUCUCAGUAGCCACAUGUGGCAGUGGCUGUUGUACUGGCAGCGUGGCUGUAAACACCCACUUCCAAAACAGGGGAUGUGUGAGGUAAGGUUUGAUUUGGUUCUCUUUUCUUUUUUCUUUUUUUUUUGUUGUUGUGUAUGUGUGUGGGGUGGGAGAUGGAGUCUUUCUGUGUCCUGCAGGCUGGAGUGCAGU